rnacentral:rRNA from 1 species
UGGGGGUGAAAGGCCAAUCAAACCGGGAGAUAGCUGGUUCUCCCCGAAAGCUAUUUAGGUAGCGCCUCGUGAAUUCAUCUCCGGGGGUAGAGCACUGUUUCGGCAAGGGGGUCAUCCCGACUUACCAACCCGAUGCAAACUGCGAAUACCGGAGAAUGUUAUCACGGGAGACACACGGCGGGUGCUAACGUCCGUCGUGAAGAGGGAAACAACCCAGACCGCCAGCUAAGGUCCCAAAGUCAUGGUUAAGUGGGAAACGAUGUGGGAAGGCCCAGACAGCCAGGAUGUUGGCUUAGAAGCAGCCAUCAUUUAAAGAAAGCGUAAUAGCUCACUGGUCGAGUCGGCCUGCGCGGAAGAUGUAACGGGGCUAAACCAUGCACCGAAGCUGCGGCAGCGACGCUGAUGCGUUGUUGGGUA